rnacentral:rRNA from 1 species
ACGCUCGACACCUACGGGAGGUAGCAGUGGGGAAUAUUGCACAAUGGGGGAAACCCUGAUGCAGCGACGCCGCGUGAGCGAAGAAGUAUUUCGGUAUGUAAAGCUCUAUCAGCAGGGAAGAAAAUGACGGUACCUGACUAAGAAGCCCCGGCUAACUACGUCGCACAGCGCGAGUAUNGCGGCGNGNGAGNG